rnacentral:rRNA from 1 species
AGAGUUUGAUCCUGGCUCAGAGCGAACGCUGGCGGCAGGCUUAACACAUGCAAGUCGAGCGGGCGUAGCAAUACGUCAGCGGCAGACGGGUGAGUAACGCGUGGGAACAUACCUUUUGGUUCGGAACAACACAGGGAAACUUGUGCUAAUACCGGAUAAGCCCUUACGGGGAAAGAUUUAUCGCCGAAAGAUGGGCCCGCGUCUGAUUAGCUAGUUGGUGAGGUAACGGCUCACCAAGGCGACGAUCAGUAGCUGGUCUGAGAGGAUGAUCAGCCACAUUGGGACUGAGACACGGCCCAAACUCCUACGGGAGGCAGCAGUGGGGAAUAUUGGACAAUGGGCGCAAGCCUGAUCCAGCCAUGCCGCGUGAGUGAUGAAGGCCCUAUGGUUGUAAAGCUCUUUUGUGCGGGAAGAUAAUGACGGUACCGCAAGAAUAAGCC